rnacentral:tRNA from 1 species
GGAAAGGUGGCAGAGCUCGGUCGAUUGCACCGGUUUUGAAAACCGGCAUAGUGUCACAGCUAUCGAGGGUUCGAAUCCCUCCCUUUCCG